rnacentral:tRNA from 1 species
AGAAACUUAGGAUCAAACCUACAAAAC